rnacentral:rRNA from 1 species
GUGGGGAAUUUUGGACAAUGGGCGCAAGCCUGAUCCAGCGACGCCGCGUGGAGGACGAAGGCCUUCGGGUUGUAAACUCCUUUUGGAGGGGAAGAAUAAAUUGACGGUACCCUCAGAAAAAGCCACGGCUAACUACGUGCCAGCAGCCGCGGAAAUACGUAGGUGGCGAGCGUUACUCGGAAUUACUAGGCGUAAAGCGUAUGUAGGUGGUUAGAUAAGUCUAUGGUGAAAGUUCCUGGCUUAACUGGGAAGGGACAUAGAUACUAUCUGGCUUGAGUGUGGGAGGGGGAGACGGAAUUCCUGGUGUAGCGGUGAAAUGCGUAGAUAUCAGGAGGAACACCGAUGGCGAAAGCAGUCUCCUGGCCCAAUACUGACACUGAGGUACGAAAGCUAGGGUAGCAAACAGGAUUAGAAACCCCUGUAGUCC